GUGGAUUAGAUACCCUAGUAGUCCAUGCCGUAAACGUUGGGCACUAGGUGUGGGGGACAUUCCACGUUUUCCGCGCCGUAGCUAACGCAUUAAGUGCCCCGCCUGGGGAGUACGGCCGCAAGGCUAAAACUCAAAGGAAUUGACGGGGGCCCGCACAAGCGGCGGAGCAUGCGGAUUAAUUCGAUGCAACGCGAAGAACCUUACCAAGGCUUGACAUGGACCGGAAAGACCUGGAAACAGGUGCCCCGCUUGCGGCCGGUUUACAGGUGGUGCAUGGUCGUCGUCAACU
rnacentral:rRNA from 1 species